UUGCUCCUCUGACGUUAGCGGCGGACGGGUGAGUAACACGUGGAUAACCUACCUAUAAGACUGGGAUAACUUCGGGAAACCGGAGCUAAUACCGGAUAAUAUAUUGAACCGCAUGGUUCAAUAGUGAAAGACGGUUUUGCUGCCACUUAUAGAUGGAUCCGCGCCGCAUUAGCUAGUUGGUAAGGUAACGGCUUACCAAGGCGACGAUGCGUAGCCGACCUGAGAGGGUGAUCGGCCACACUGGAACUGAGACACGGUCCAGACUCCUACGGGAGGCAGCAGUAGGGAAUCUUCCGCAAUGGGCGAAAGCCUGACGGAGCAACGCCGCGUGAGUGAUGAAGGUCUUCGGAUCGUAAAACUCUGUUAUUAGGGAAGAACAAAUGUGUAAGUAACUAUGCACGUCUUGACGGUACCUAAUCAGAAAGCCACGGCUAACUACGUGCCAGCAGCCGCGGUAAUACAUAGGUGGCAAGCGUUAUCCGGAAUUAUUGGGCGUAAAGCGCGCGUAGGCGG
rnacentral:rRNA from 1 species